rnacentral:rRNA from 1 species
AGCGAACGCUGGCGGCAGGCUUAACACAUGCAAGUCGAACGGGCGUAGCAAUACGUCAGUGGCAGACGGGUGAGUAACGCGUGGGAACGUACCUUUUGGUUCGGAACAACCCAGGGAAACUUGGGCUAAUACCGGAUAAGCCCUUACGGGGAAAGAUUUAUCGCCGAAAGAUCGGCCCGCGUCUGAUUAGCUAGUUGGUGAGGUAACGGCUCACCAAGGCGACGAUCAGUAGCUGGUCUGAGAGGANGAUCAGCCACAUUGGGACUGAGACACGGCCCAAACUCCUACGGGAGGCAGCAGUGGGGAAUAUUGGACAAUGGGCGCAAGCCUGAUCCAGCCAUGCCGCGUGAGUGAUGAAGGCCCUAGGGUUGUAAAGCUCUUUUGUGCGGGAAGAUAAUGACGGUACCGCAAGAAUAAGCCCCGGCUAACUUCGUGCCAGCAGCCGCGGU